rnacentral:rRNA from 1 species
UACGGAGGAUCCGAGCGUUAUCCGGAUUUAUUGGGUUUAAAGGGUGCGUAGGCGGAAAUGUAAGUCAGUGGUAAAAUCCUGCAGCUUAACUGUAGAAUAGCCGUUGAAACUGUGUUUCUUGAGUACAUUUGAGGUAGGCGGAAUGUGGUGUGUAGCGGUGAAAUGCAUAGAUAUACCACAGAACACCGAUUGCGAAGGCAGCUUACUAAACUGUCACUGACGCUGAUGCACGAAAGCGUGGGUAUCAAACAGGAUUAGAUA